rnacentral:rRNA from 1 species
GAUGAACGCUGGCGGCGUGCCUACUACAUGCAAGUCGAGCGAACGGACGAGAAGCUUGCUUCUCUGAUGUUAGCGGCGGACGGGUGAGUAACACGUGGAUAACCUACCUAUAAGACUGGGAUAACUUCGGGAAACCGGAGCUAAUACCGGAUAAUAUUUUGAACCGCAUGGUUCAAAAGUGAAAGACGGUCUUGCUGUCACUUAUAGAUGGAUCCGCGCUGCAUUAGCUAGUUGGUAAGGUAACGGCUUACCAAGGCAACGAUGCAUAGCCGACCUGAGAGGGUGAUCGGCCACACUGGAACUGAGACACGGUCCAGACUCCUACGGGAGGCAGCAGUAGGGAAUCUUCCGCAAUGGGCGAAAGCCUGACGGAGCAACGCCGCGUGAGUGAUGAAGGUCUUCGGAUCGUAAAACUCUGUUAUUAGGGAAGAACAUAUGUGUAAGUAACUGUGCACAUCUUGACGGUACCUAAUCAGAAAGCCACGGCUAACUACGUG